GGCGUGUGAGGGGCGCGGGGGCAAUAGUGAAGAGAGAGGUGGUAUUGCCGCACGUGGCAGGCCAGGGAGGAGGAGGCGGCGGCGGCAAGAGUGGCGCCACUCUCCCUCCCCCAUAUUAUAUCCCGUUCCUCUCCCUCUACCUUCCACACGUGGCACCUCCCGCCCCUGGUUUUACCUCUGGCCCGCGCAUGUGGAGGCUCCGGCAGCGCCCCCCAGCAGCCCGGUGGCUCGUAGGAGUGUCAGGCAUGGGUGGCGUGACACACCUGCUGCUGCAGGAGGCAGAGUGUCACACACAACUGUCACGGCAAUCAAUGGAGGAAGGUGGCUGCUGCCUGCAGUAGUGCUUGGGUCACCACCAGCCUCCCCCUCUCACGCCCAGUUGUGUUUGAACCUCCUCCUCCCGCCUCGCUCACCCGGGGACAUCAACCCCCCCCACGUUAUCCAUGGAGAUACAUUCGGCGUGUCGAGUGACUGAUGUAUACUAGUGCGUAUAUAUGUAUACAUAUACGCAAGCAGCAUAAGAGUGGGUGCAUGAACUCUGACCGUUGAGGCAGUGGAGGCGGCCGUGUGUGUGUCCCUCGUUACACCGGGGAUAUAACCAACUUAACGAACUUAGUAAUAAUCGCCAUAGUUUUGGCUUUCCCGCAAAAUAGAUGUGAAAACAUGCGAAUAUAUAGUAUGGCGUUGCUUGCGGCGGCGGCGGCGGCGGCCACUUUCUAAUGUCCAGUGAGUGACACGUGCCAUUUUGAGUGUGCAGGUGGUUUGUUUGGCCCCCCAGCAGGAGUGAGAGGGCCAGGCCUGCAGGAGAGGCAGUGAGAGGCCCCAGCAGCAGGGCGAGGCAGCAGCAGCAGCAGCAGCAACGCAGUAUUGGAACAUGUUGAUGUUUGUGACGUAGAUAGUGUAUCUGUAAACAAAAUGGCCAAGUUAUCUGGCGAGGAGAGGGCACUCUUCCCUCUCAGUGACAUUGAGGCCGUCGUCAACCUCUUCAGGCUCCACCUGCAGAAGAACAGAGAGCCGAACUUGGCUAUAUUAUCCAUAAUCGUGGGCCAUAUUGAGAACACCCUGACGUGCUCCCGGGGCGUGAGCGAGCCUCCCCUGGGCGGCGACGACGACCACUGCAGGUUCGCUGACAACCACAGAAUACUGCCCGUGGUGGAGUACGAGACGGUGGAGGCCCUCCACCACAGGUUCCUGGCCAUCAUCAAGGCUCACGUGGACGUGACGGCCUUUGGCACCCCGAGAUACGCCACCAGGGAGCUGGUGAAGCGUAUAUCAGACGUGGUGUGGUGUACGCUCUCCAGCAGUUACUACAAGGACAGGGCUCACCUGCAGUCCAUCUACAGCUACAUGACAGGUGCCAAACUUGACAGCUCGGGUACAACGUUAGCGGUUGUAGCAGCUUGUCAAGCACUUGGCUACUGCGAUGUUCACUUGGCACUCUCGGAAGACCAUACGUGGGUGGUGUUUGGGGACAAAGGCCAACACACAGUUGAAGUAACAUGGCAUGGUAAAGGUAACGAGGAUAAAAGAGGCAUACCCGUGACGCAUGAUGUCUAUAGCAAAUCUUGGCUUUAUGUCAAUGGGCAUCCUGUCGUAUGUGACAGACACAUGGAGGUAGCCACAAUAGUGUCCAAUAUGAACCCUGGCAUCAACGCCACAACAGACUCGGAAGAAGUGAUGCUGCUACAACAGGCACUCCUCUGGAUGCUGUAUGAUGCGGGUCACCUUGCCAAAUACCCCAUGGCUAUUGACAAUUUAGGUGACCUGGAGGAGAUGAUGCCAACAAAAGGUCGAUGUCCAGCCACCAAAAUGUACGAAGAAGCUAUCACGAGUGCAGUGCGCUAUUACCAGAACCAACACGUCUACCCAUACACCUAUCUGGGGGGAUAUUGUUAUAGAAACAAGCUGUAUAAACAAGCACUCAAGUAUUGGGCCAGAGCUGCCUCCGUUAUCAGAAAUUAUAAUUAUUCAAGAGACGAUGAAGAAAUCUACAAGGAGUUUUUGGAAAUUGCAAAUGAAUUAAUCCCACAUAUUAUGAGGGUUGUCAGCUCUGGGAUCUCGGCUAGAUCUAUACUAAAGGACCCGGAGUGUUUUGGGUACUUGUUAGAGUUCUAUGAUGGCAUUUGUGAGUGGGAGGAAGGCUCAGCCACUCCUGUGCUGCACAUUGGCUGGGCUAAGGCACUCUUCAAUACAAUUGCCAAGUUUGAGGCCCAUGUCAGGUCACAUGUCAAGAUAUCCUGCAUAGAUCCAGAUUCCACAGCAGAUAUCAGUGACGUACAAGAACCUCCAAUUUUGGAAAAGUCUGCAGCAGAAGCCAGGACUUCGCAAGACCAGAAUGGAAACAUGGCAACUGACUGCAUUAAUAUUACAGAGGAGGACAUUGAUCCAAGCGAGAUGAUGCACCGUUGGCCACCCGUAAGACUGGCAUCAGCAAAGAUGCGUGGACUGAGGGACUUACUCCUAGCUGAUAAACUAAAUUCACAGGCUAUAUCGCUUCAGUUGACAGCACAGUCCCAGGUGACUAUGACCAAGAAGCGAGGCAUGGGCGAGGUGGAGACUGCACAUGUUGGCCGAUCAAAAAGAGCGCGAAGAGAAUAGAUCUUCAGAGUGAUCAGAUUAUAUUUUUGACCAGAGUACGUCAUAAAACUGAGAAACCCACGAAGGUGACGGGCCACAGAGAGAGGGUUUGGUGUACUGUAAUAAUAAUAUGCUGUACCAGCAUAGGUAUCCUUAGAGUACACCACUGAAAAAAAGGUAUACAGUGAGAUACAUGGGAUUAAGUCUUUCUCCUAAUUAUGUGCUACCAUGUGUGCGUGUAGAGUACAUGACUUGGAACUGUUAAUGCUGAAACAUGUUACAUUUUCCAGUCAACCAAUUGGUAAAUAUAUAAUAUUUAACGCUCUUGUACUUGAAGGACCAAGAGGGUUGUUGAAACCUGUGGAAGCCAAUAAUGUACAUGAGCUGUGGAGACACACAGUGAGAAUAUUUGUGUUCCAUGUAUUUCCUGCUUUGCAUUUUCUGGGUACAAAGAUACUGGAAAAUUGUAUGAAAAAUUACUAAAAAACAAAAAAACUGGCUGCUUUCUGAAGGUCAUAUAUCAGUUCUGUCACUGACUGCAUAUGAUAAAAUGUUUUCUCAUAUUACAAAUAAUUAGAUAAUUCAUAAUUCCUUUCUGAAGAAAGGAAUCUUUCGAGUUAAUAUAUGCUAAACAUUUUGUCAGUGUCAAGCAGUGAUGGUAACUUUGAGUACAUUUAGAAGACAGCCUGAGAGUGGCUUAAAGUAUAUAUCUAAGUGAUUUUUAAAAGGUGAUUUGUGUGUUCGUAUUAGGACGCCUCACACAUUGGGUAGAGUAUCCACGGUGAUAGUCAAAAUUAGAUUUUAUUUUUAAUGUCUUUACCAAAGUCUUAACUUUCCUUUUUAUUUGGAAAAUAAUGAUUUUAUACAAAUUUUAUGUAGAGAUUUAGCUGGCGUUUCCUGUAUGAGAAAUGUGCCACAGUUGGUUAAGGAUAGUGAUGCUUAUUUAUUUUAAGAAACGGAAGAGAUGUGCGUCAAGUAGUUUUUUCCCAGAAUCCAAAGGAACGGCUAUUAAGCAUUUUUGUUUGUUGUUCCAAUAGGAAUCAAAGAUUAUUUUUUAAACAAUGUUUAUGAAUAUGAUAAUUGAUUGUUAACUACAUGUAAUUGUAGUAUAUUUUGUUUUAUUAUAGGUGCCAGAUCAUACAACUCUUGCUUAAAAAGAAAUGUUUGGAGAUUAUUGAACAUUUCUGUAAAGCACAAAUAAUUUAUCUUUAAUGACCUGGGGGUUGUUUUGCUGCAAAGUAAGUACUGCAGGAUUGCUUAGUGUGUACUGCAGGUUUGUAGAGUACUCUUGGGAACUGGAGUAAUCUGUCAAGUAACAAGCAACACCAUCGUUGGGGGAGAUGAAGAGACGACCAGUUGCCGUGAUGAUGAUGAUGAUGAUGAUGAUGGGUUCCCGUUGAGGAGUGUUGUACAGUUGGUGGAGGCUAGUAACGGAAGGCAAGUUUUAGUACCUCUUCCUAUUUGAUAUUUGUGUCCAGUCUUAGUAGCCUGUGAUGACCUACACACACAAGUUUGUGUAUGUCAAGUUUCAGGGGAAUUUUAUUGAUUUAAGGUGCUGGUAUAAGUACAAUUGUCUUUGCAAAAAAAAUGGUAUUGAUAAGACUAUGUGGAUUCCUAAAUGUUGCUUGCUAGAUAUUAUACGUUUAGAGAUUUAAGCAUGUGUAUGCAACAUUACACAUUGUUAUGUUUGAUUCUAGGAUAUUCUAUUGAUCCUGUAAUACGUGAUGCGUUCAGUUUGCAUUGGGAUGUAGAUUAAUUUAUUUGUAAAUACAGUAACUUUUCCCUGUUCAUUACUGGCAAUAAUCAUAUCAUAUUUUGUUGAUAAGCUUUGCAAAGUUGAUUUAGCUUCCCCUGUUAGGGUAUUUUGACUAUAUCUUGAAGGUUUAGAAGCCACUCGUGGUUGAUUAUCCUUGAGGUGCCAGCAACACAGCGGCAAUACCCGUAGUAUGUAACUGUGAAAUACAGUUAGCCUAUGUGGUCUGCUCACUGGGUUAGAUCACCAAACAAGUACCUGAUACGGCUUAAGUAAAGUAAGGAAAGUGGUUGUGCACCUACUUAUAGAGCUAACACAUGGACACCUGGAGGCUGAUGUUGGAUUACCUCACACAGUCAUGGACAUUGUAAACAGGACAGGACAGGGUCUUACAUAGGCCACUGGUAAUUGGUCUCCUGUAGGCCAUUUAUGUUACUGUUGUCAGUUGUCUGUAAGCUGUCAGUGUUGCUUGCAGUAUGACCCCCCCACUAGAGACAUCCUCUUCUUGCUUACAGAAGGAUAAUUUGCCAUCUAGGAAUAAUGUUGCCAGUAUCGCUCCCAAGUGUUAUGAUGGUUGGGGCAGUGAAUCUGUCUUGUGUUUUUUCCUUUGAUGGCAAGUCAUUGCUGUAACGGCAGUAGGUGGCACGUUAAGGUUAGGUUUGCUGGUGACGGUUUGUGGCCCAAAAGUCACAUUUAUUAAUGGCGGUUCACAGUCUACAGGUCACAAUUAUUGGCAUUUUUGGGCUCUCACUAUCAUAUCUGUUAGAAACAGACUAUUACCCCAAGUCUCUUGCUGCACACCUUAUAGUGGUGCUUAGGCUGGUCUCUUGUCUCUCUCUCACCUGCUGGUGGCAUUGUGAUGUGUCACAUACACACUUCUUGGUGGCAUUGUGUUGGUGGCACGGGACCUGUAGCUCACUCCUGCUGCUGCUGGCACUGUGACCUGUAGGUCACUCCUGCUGCUGGCACUGUAACCUGUAGGUCACUCCUGCUGCUGGCACUGUAACCUCUAAUUCACCUGCUACUGGCAUUGUGACCUGUAGCUCACACCUGCUGCUGGCAUUGUGACCUGUAGCUCACACCUGCUGCUGGCACUUUGACCUGUAGCUCACACCUACUGCUGCUGGCACUGUGACCUGUAGCCCACACCUGCUGCUGGCACUAUGACCUGUAGCUCACACCUGCUGCUGCUGGCACUGUGGCCUGUAGCUCACACCUGCUGCUGGCACUGUGACCUGUAGCUCACACCGGCUGCUGGCACUUUGACCUGCUGCUGCUGGCACUGUGACCUGUAGCCCACACCUGCUGCUGGCACUGUGACCUGUAGCUCACACCUGCUGCUGGCACUGUGACCUGUAGCCCACACCUGCUGCUAGUAUUGUGACCCAUAGCUAACACCUGCUGUUGGCACUGUGACCUGUAGCUCACACCUGCUGCUGGCACUGUGACCUGUAGCCCACACCUGCUGCUGGCACUGUGACCUGUAGCCCACACCUGCUGCUGGCACUGUGACCUGUAGCCCACACCUGCUGCUAGUACUGUGACCCAUAGCUAACACCUGCUGUUGGCACUGUGACCUGUAGCUCACACCUGCUGCUGGCACUGUGACCUGUAGCCCACACCUGCUGCUGGCACUGUGACCUGUAGCCCACACCUGCUGCUAGUACUGUGACCCAUAGCUAACACCUGCUGUUGGCACUGUGACCCAUAGCUAACACCUGCUGCUGGCACUGUGACCUGUAGCUCACACCUGCUGCUACUGGCACUGUGACUUGUAGCUCACACCUGCUGCUACUGGCACUGUGACUUGUAGCCCACACCUGCUGCUGCUGGCACUGUGACCUGUAGCCCACACCUGAGGGCAGUGUGUGGUGUAGAACUUGCACCUCUCUAGUAAGACUGUUAACCUGUUGCUCACACUUGGCGUGAGUUUGUAGUUGAGGCAGGCGAUUGUCUGCAGGUUUGUAGUUGAGGCAGGUAAUUAUCUGCAGGUUUGUAGUUGAGGCGGGUAAUUAUCUGCAGGUUUGUAGUUGAGGCGGGUGAUUGUCUGCAGGUUUGUAGUUGAAGCAGGUGAUUGUCUGCAGGUUUGUAGUUGAGGCUGGUGAUUGUCUGCAGGUUUGUAGUUGAGGCAGGUGAUUGUCUGCAUGUUUGUAGUUGAAGCAGGUGAUUGUCUGCAGGUUUGUAGUUGAGGCAGGCGAGUGUUUGCAGGUUUAUAAUUGAGGCAGGUGAUUGUCUGCAGGUUUGUAGUUGAGGCAGGUGAUUGUCUGCAGGUUUGUAGUUGAGGCAGGUGAUUGUCUGCAGGUUUCACCUCUUACUAACAUUAGUUGCCUAGUGGUUGAACCUUUUGUUAAUGCAACAGAGGUUAUGAAAGUUGUCUUGACAGCAGAGUUAUUGAGGCGUUGAGUGUGUGUGUGUGAGCGCCGGUACUGUUUGGGCCACGCGUGUAGCCAGCAGUAUAACCUUCUUGGGCCACGUGUAUUGUGUUUGGUAGGUGUCGUCAUCACCAGCUAUAUAUUAGUCAUUUCUAGCAAGUGCUUUGUAGAAACUAAGCAUUCAUAUGUGGCACUUGAGGAAUCUCUUGGUAUUUUAAUGACAGUGUUUGCAGAAAAAGUAGAAAAUGUGCACCCACAGCUGUGUAUUUCUUCUGCAUUGGAUUUACAAACAUAGUGUAACAUGCAUGAUACAUUAGUAUGAGGGUCAUAUACAUGCAUUGUACCUAUAUAUAUAUAUGAUAUUAUUGCCUUUUUCUGUCAUUUAGCCCAUUUGCACAAUAGAAUCACUGGGCAGGCCUUUCCAGUUGUGAAGGAGCGUACGUACUUAGACCUCAUAAUAGUCGCAGAAACCACUCCACAUUACUUACAUCCCUGUUAGCCGUUUCUCAAUACUGUACCACAGCUAACCCUUAAAAUGACAUAGAAGCUUACAGCUCACACCAAACCACCAUUUUCUAAGAUGCAGUUAAUCAGUCUCCUUAUAAUUCAAGAACAAGAAAUUUUGAUAUUUUUUAUUAAGCAAAUUUAUCAAUGCUUAGAUUCAAUGAAUAAUCAGGAUAUUGAUUAAAAAAUGCAAUGAAACAGAUACCUGGGUAGGCCAGAUAUUAUGUAGCUGACAGCACUAGAGGUAAUGUGAGGCGUGCAGUACCCGGCUAUCCUUACUCUCAGCCAGACGUCAUAGUUAUCUCUCUCUCUCUCUCUCUCUCUUGACCUACAGUAUAUGAUGUGAUACAAAUUGUCUCAGCGGUGGCUACAUGCACUCCAAACAUAAAUCUUCCACAAGAGUUACAAAUUGCAAAAGGAGAGCGAGAUUUUUCCUAGUAAUGCAGUUUCUAUUUAGCCACCCUUCGUGAAGUAUAGAGCAUAAAUUAGAUGUUGCAAGAUGUCCCGCCUAAGAAAUGAGUAUAUGUGAAAGAGAAGACCAGUGGAAGCAUUGUGAUAUGCACACGGUUUAUAAUGGUGUUUAAUUAGAUUGUAAAGGAUUUUGUUGCUUCAUAGUUUGCAGAAUAAACAUGAUUUUUUUUCAUUUGUUUUUAAUAGCUGCAAUUUGCUCCUUCAUGGAGGAUGUGUACAUAUUGAGCAAUGGUGUGUUUGAACAUUGCUUGUGAUAGUUGACAUUGUGCCAAACAUCCACAUCAUAUUCUGAAAUUUGCAUGAUAAGCUUCAGUCAGAUUUUAACAUGAGCAUCAUAAGCUUAGGUCAGUUGCUGAGACUUGCAUCAUAAGCUUAGGCCACAUGCAUAGGAAAUCCCCCAAACCUUGAGUGCAUAAUAGGUGGUGUAGUGUGUGUGUGUGCUGCAUCUCGCCCCCUCCCCUCACAUGAUCCCGUAUGUCACCGCCAUCUUCUGUACUGUGUUGGAAAUAGUCAUUAUCGUUAUUUUCCUCGAAUUAGAAUUUAAGAACUUCAUUUUUGUUUAAAUCCACAUCUUGUGCUCCAAGUGUAUUGUUGUAUAUUUAACAAGUAGAGAUAUUUAAGUUUCAUGAGGAUUUUAUAAUUUUUUGUGUGGAUUUUAAUUUUUACCUGAUUGAUUCAUGUACCUUUGUAAAACAAACAUUCCUAUAUUAGUAGUGUAGUGAAGUGAGCCGGCCUAGAUCUCUGGAGCACCAGGACCUGGCUUGCUACUUGUGUCGGUUCACUCAGACCAGGCUCUUUCCUUUUAGUUUUGUCUCCUUAAGAAUGAGAUGUCUCUCUUCUUCUGCCUGUUCACUAGAGCCGAACUUCACUUUUCUCAUGUCAAGUCUGUUCAGUCAGAUCAUUUUGUCCUGCCCAGCUGUAGCAGACAAGAUCAUGUUCUUCUGCCCAGCUGUAGCAGACAUGGUCACAUUGCCCUCCUGCCCAGCUGUAGCAGACAUGGUCACGUUGUCCUGCCCGGCUGUAGCAGACAUGGUCACGUUGUCCUCCUGCCCAGCUGUAGCAGACAUGGUCACGUUGUCCUGCCCGGCUGUAGCAGACAUUGUCAUGUUGUCCUGCCCAGCUGUAGCAGACAUGCUCAUGUUGUCCUGCCCAGCUGAAGCAGACAUGGUCACAUUGCCUUCCUGCCCAGCUGUAGCAGACAUGGUCACGCUGCCCUCCCUGCCCGGCUGUAGCAGACAAGGUCAUGUUGUCCUCCUGCCCAGCUGUAGCAGACAGGGACAUGUUGCCUCCCUGCUCAACUGUAGUAGUCAGGCUCCAUCACCCUUCUGACCUGCUGUAGCAGACAUGGUCAUUAAGCUGUGUAGUGAUAUUCACCCCAUGAUAUUUUAGUUUCUCUAGAUCUUAUCAUUGUACACAUGCAAGUAUGUUCAUCUAAGCAGUGUUGCCAUAUGUUAUUGAAUAUAAGCCAUGCAUCAAGUUAUAACUUUCUGAUAAACCUAGAAUUUUACCCACUGAUGGCCGGUGUUGACACGAAUUAUGAGUUACACAUGGCAGGCUUGUAAAAAUAAUCAUUUGUGUUAUUAACCAUUUAUCUCUUCGCAAGCAAAGAUAAAUUAUGAAAUAGUGCACCAGAUGGUGCACAAGGUUUGUGGUUUGAUAUCAUGCUACCUAAAAGUUAGAAGUCUCUUCAACUCGUAUGAAAGAUUAUAAACACUUCUGGAAAAAAAAAGAAUUUUCUCUUAAUUAUGUUUAUGCUUGUACUGUUUACGUAAUUGUUCACUUUGGAUUUUUAAUGUACAUAUGUAUUUUGAGCUCUCAUAGGUAGAGGAGCACGAGUGGGUGAAGAACACAACAGUAUCACGACACUAUACUUGUCCUGCAAAUAUGGAUGGCCGAGGUAGAAUCUCAAAGUGGUUUGUUCUAUAAAAAGUAUUUAAUGGAAGGACUAUAAACAUUCCUGCAAAUUAGUUAAACAGACCCCCCCAAAAUACCAUUUUAGUAAGAUCAAAAUAUAAAGUGUUUACAAUUCAUGUCACCUGUUGAGUGCAAGAGCAACAAGUGUGAAUUUCUCGUUAUACAGGAGAUAUGCUAAAUGGGAGCACCAACAUUGUAGUUGGGCCAUCAACAUUAAACCAAAUUUGUAAUUUUAUAUUCACAUUGGGGCUGUUAUCCUGUAGCAUUAUUGAGUGAUAUAAGGAUUUGGAGUUUCACAGUGAGCAACUGAACGAGCGUGUACAAAGAAAGGUUAUUUGAAAAUCGUAAUAUUAUGUUAUGAUAUUUAUAUAUAUAUAUAUGGAAUAUCUAUAUUUCAAAUAUGGACAAUUUUAUGAGAGCAUAAUGCUAGUAAGUUUUAAGGAUGGAGGACUCGAGUGCCGUUAUAAUUGUACACGUGAGGUAUGGGAAUGACAGAGAGGGCCAGUGUUUCAUGUCAAAGUUAGGGUUUCCUUAAUCAAGUCAAGGAAGUUGGAAUUAUUUUGGAGGUGCCAUAUUUUUUUUAUUAGACCAUCAAAAAGAUUUAAAAUCUUAAUGAGUAUCUACCUGUGUACAGAUAUACAUACCUAUGUACAAUUCACACUUUGCCUUUUAAGUAUACAUAUCUGUAUACAAUUCUCACUUUACCCUUCAGGUAUGCAUACAAUACAUACUUUUCUCUUCAGGUAUACCUACAAUACAUACAUUUCUCUUCAGGUAUACCUACAAUACAUACUUUUCUCUUCAGGUAUACUAUCUGUGUACUAUACAUAUUUUUCUUUUCAGGUAUAUAUUGUAUACCUGUGUAUGUAUUGUACACAGGUAUACAUACCUGUUUACAAUACAUACUUUUCUCUUCAGGUAUAUAUACCUGUGUACAAUGUAUACUUUUUAAAUGUACAUGUGUACAAUGCAUACUUUUCUCUUGAGGUAUACCUGUGUACAAUACAUACUUUUCUCUUCAGGUAUACAUACCUGUGUACAAUACAUACUCUUCAGGUAUACAUACCUGUGUACAAUACAUACUUUUGAGGUAUACAUACCUGUGUAUAAUACAUAAUUUACCCUUGAGGUCAAGUGAGGUGUGGACAGUACACUGGUAUUAUACUGCACUUGCACCCGGAUGUUUUAACUGUGACCCGGGUAUCCACAGACCUCCGAGUGUUGAAUAUUCUUGUGUGUGUAGAGUUGGCGCUCUUAAUCUUUUUCAACAAAAUACCCAUGUUGUUUUUUGGAUAUUUUAAUAGGGAUGAGAUAGUGAAGUGGUAAUGAAUGUGUGUAUAAAAUCAUUCAUGGAAUUGCGAUAGAUAGGGAACUGUGAAAUACAAUUGCUAUACUGAAAUUGCAGUCACUUCCUCAGAGCAGUAUUUUAACUCUGGAAGUUUAGUGUGUUGAUGAGCAUGAGAGAGUGAUUGAUGUGAUUAGGUUGUUGUUUACCAAUAUGUUUAAUUCUAAAAUUCAUAUUCGUUGUACAUUAAGUUCUUAACCUCUGCAUAGUCAGGUAUGACUUGGGUUAGCUGUAAACAAAUUAUUUUCUCUAAAAUGUUGAAUGUGUAGCCAACCAGAGGAGAGUGGGAAUGCCAUACCUCUUGCAGUCACCAUUGAAUACUCCCCCAGGUCAUCCAUUGUCAUCAAUGCUGUAUAAAGCAUUUGUAUUUCAUGAGUAUGACUUAUACCUCAUUAACAGUCACGCAUAAUGCCGUCAGCGUCGCAUAUUCCACUUCUCACUCGUAGUUGGCCGGCACAUGCAGCAUCUCAUUCCCGGCAUUACCAACAACACCGUUUAAAACACAUUCAAGAAUUAUGCAUGUGGUUUGGUUGUUCAAUAAACAUUUCUUGCACCAACAAUGUUUGCAUAUUUGUUUCUAUGUAAAUACAAAUCUUGGUGCAAACUUUAAAGUCAUGGUACAUGUAUUUCUUAUGAACAAUAACUGAUAGAUUAAUAACAUAUAUUAAUAUAUAUCUUUAGGUAAGUGGAAGAAAUAUUAUUUAAAUGGAGUUGGAUCUAUAUUUUAAGGGCUUAUAUUCAAUAAAAUGUUGUAGUGCUGUAGGUCCAUACAGCGUAUUAGUUUUAUUAGUCUUAAGUGCACACAUGUAAGUGAACCAGUGUUGGGUGCACACUCGUAAGUGUAUCAUUCUUAUGUGUGUCAAGAACAUGAUAAACUAAGUGUAGUAUUCUUACUGGUGUAAAGUUCACACACGUGUCGCUUUCACUGUUGUAACGCUGACAAAUGGAUCACUCGCACCAGUCUGAAGUUCACACACGUGUGUUUCAGUCCUACCAGUGUAAAGUUCACUCAAGACUGUUUCAGUCCUACUGGUGUAAAGUUCACACACGUGUGUGUGUCAGUCCUACCGAUGUAAAGUUCACACACGUGUUUCAGUCCUACCGGUGUAAAGUUCAUACGUGUGCUUCACUCCUACUGGUGUAAGUUGUGUGUGUCAGUCUUACCAGUGUUACGUUCACACACAUGUAUGUAUAUCAGUCUUUUAAGUGUCUAAAUACACACACAUAUGUGUAAUAAGGACAACUGUACUUAGUAUUCAUCAUUACUAUGGGAAAGAAUUUCCCCUCGGGUGAUUUCACACGUAAAACACAAGCAUUUCUUUGCCAUUAUGUUACUGUAUUAGAGAGAAAUGCAAUUCAUACCUGUUUGUUUUUUGGACUUGAAGGGAAUCUCAUAUUUUGUCCGAGAAACAAGUUUCACUCAUUCAAGUGCAGUCAAAAAGUUUAUAUUUGUUGUAUUAUAUCCGGUGUAAAAUAGUGAUCAGCCUCUCGUGGUAAUUGUGGUGUAAAGUCUUAUUUCCACUCAGCAUUUUAAAAGUUUGUGUUUGGGGGCUUCAGUCACUAUCCAUAAUGUAGUGUAGAGCUGUAUCUUGGCUUUAAAUAUUUUGCCUCUAUUAUUUGUCAUCCAUAUAUUUGCUAUGCUUUCCUGAAGCCAUUCUCUUUUGCUUGGUCAUCAUAAGAAAUUCCCAGGUAAAGCCCAUCAGGUUGCCUUGCUACUCAACUCUGCGCUUGCUUUUGCAUCUUGAGUAAUGAGUUACCUACUUUUAUCUGCACUUGAUAAUUAUUUACCUGCUGUACUGGUAUACAUCUGUGUGUUAAUGUACAUAACAGUAUACUGUAAUAAAAAUAAAUUCUGCUUCAAUUUUGGAUCAUAUAUUUGAUAUUACAUUUUUAAUAUUGUAACUCUACAAACAAACAGGUAAUGAUUCAUUUCUGUAUCCAGAUUUCUUUAUGAAGAUAGCCAGAUAUAUUUAAUUUUUGGUGCAUUCACACAGUUAGGUUUCAUCGAAAUGGUAGAAAAGGAAACCAAAUAAUUUACAUUGCAGCAUGAAAUGCUGCUUAUUCAAAAUAAGAAAUGAGUCAGUUGUCACUCAGCAUAUAAAAAGUCCCCCUCUGAGUGAUGUUAUGUGACACGCUGAACUGUGUUCACUUAUUUAUAUUGCAACCCUUAUGCAACUAAUGUUAAACACAUCAAAAUGUGAAGAACGGGCCCAAACCUAAUAAAUCAGUAGAGCAUCGUCUCUCCUUGUUAGCUAUAAGGUCCUAUGUUACCUGAUACUUGUGAUUUCUGUGUAUGCAUCUGGGAGACGAGAAGGUUCUCCUGACUCUCUUCUUGUGACCACUGGCAAGCUAACCAACUUGUAUGAGUUGUCAACUAUGAGUGCAUGUCAUAAGAUGGCAUGCAGGAUAAGACAGCAUUAUUUCAUCUGUCUGAGAUCCAGAUAUAUACAGUAUACAAUCUUUUUCCAUUGUAACAAUAUUUUUAAUAUAUAGAAUUUUAAAUUUAUCUUGUAUAUUAAUAAGGUUUGAUGUGUAGAUAAUCAAAAUUUUUAUUACCGAGUCUCAGAUACGUGUGAUUCUGCUAAACGAUACAUUUUGUUCUAAAGAACGCAAUUGCAAUGAAUUAUGAUUGAUACAAUUCAGUGAUACAAAUAUUUUGAUUGUGAUUUCAUUACAAUUAGACCUAUGGACAUGCUCCACAUGUCUGUGUAUUGUAUACAGUCUUAACUAUAUCCGAAGGCAUUGGUUCUGUUAGUCAGUUAAUUUUCCAUUGGUCUCGAGAAGAGAAGUAGACUACAAUCUAAGUCACUUUCCCUGUAGUGUCUAGUUUAAGGAGCAUUUCCACAGGACCCCUUGAGGCCAAAUUAAUAUCUUGAAGAUGGAGUUAUAGAGUAAGUCAAUAAAACAAAUGUGGUUUUUGCUUAAAUAUUGAAAAGAUGUCUGAUGAAGAGUUGAUCAGUAAUUAAAAACACCUGUGAAAAUGUUUAGCUUUUAUGAUCAAAGAUUAAGGAGAUUGCCAAAAAUCAUAUACGUCUUGUUAGUUUUUGAUCAAGCUCUGAACUAGUGUGUUAUUUGUCAGAUUACCACAGAGUAAGGUAGAAGGUGCAGACAGCCAUUUGGUCUGUGUAUGGCACAAGAGCCUCACAUUUAGCCAUGCAAAAGAAAACAUUAAAUAUUGACAUUGAAAAAUUUCUUCUUUCCCUGUUUUGAUUUGCUUUGCAAAUCAGGUUGGUGGUACUGAAUAAUGGCACCAUCCACUUUGAUCUCCUAUGGUCCAUACGCCUCAUUGUUGCUAUAGCUGGCUCUCUGCCCUAUUACAGAGCCUGCUUCUGUCAUACAUGCUUUACUGUAGCAGACACUGGGUGUUUCAUGCUGGCACUACACUUGUCAUUGGUGCCGCCAUCUGCUGGCUUCUUAACGCCUUGCUUGUGCCAUACACAGCCACUUGCUGCUUCUAGCCAGAAUAAAUAAUAACUUACUCAGUCUUAAGUUCUUCAGAUCUUCAGAUAUCUUGUGGCUAUUUUUGGUCUCUAGUGUCUAGGUUAGCAAGUAGAGAAUAUUAUGAAUAAAAUUUAUUUUUGUGGCAUAUGAA
rnacentral:misc_RNA from 1 species